rnacentral:tRNA from 1 species
GGGCUAGUAGUUCAGUUUGGAGAGAACGUCUGCCUCCGGAGCAGAAGGUCGCAGGUUCAAAUCCUGCCUAGCCCACCA